UGCGGCCGCGAUUCCGGUUGAUCCUGCCGGACCCGACUGCUAUCGGGGUGGGGCUAAGCCAUGGGAGUCGUACGCCCCGGUUACCGGGGCGUGGCGGACGGCUGAGUAACACGUGGCUAACCUACCCUUGGGACGGGGAUAGCUCCGGGAAACUGGAGCUAAUCCCCGAUAGGCGGGGAGGCCUGGAAGGGUCCCCCGCCGAAAGGGUCCUGCGGGGAUGCCCGCAGGGCCGCCCGAGGAUGGGGCCACGGCCCAUCAGGUAGUUGGCGGGGUAACGGCCCGCCAAGCCGAUAACGGGUAGGGGCCGUGGGAGCGGGAGCCCCCAGAUGGGCCCUGAGACAAGGGCCCAGGCCCUACGGGGCGCACCAGGCGCGAAAACUCCGCAAUGCGGGCAACCGUGACGGGGCCACCCCG
rnacentral:rRNA from 1 species